AUACGUAGGUGGCAAGCGUUGUCCGGAAUUAUUGGGCGUAAAGCGCAUGUAGGCGGUUUGGUAAGUCGGUCGUGAAAAUGCGGUGCUUAACGCCGUAUGGCGAUUGAAACUGCUGAACUUGAGUGCAGGAGAGGAAAGGGGAACUCCCAGUGUAGCGGUGAAAUGCGUAGAUAUUGGGAAGAACACCGGUGGCGAAGGCGCCUUUCUGGACUGUGUCUGACGCUCAGAUGCGAAAGCCGGGGUAGCGAGCGGGAUUAGAUACCCCGGUAGUCCUGGCCGUAAACGAUGGGUACUAGUUGUGGGAGGUAUCGACUCCUUCCGUGCCGGAGUUAACGCAAUAAGUACCCCGCCUGGGGAGUACGGCCGCAAGGCUUAAACUCAAAUGAAUUGACGGGG
rnacentral:rRNA from 1 species